rnacentral:lncRNA from 1 species
AGACCUAUGAAGGUCGAAGGGGAAGAAAAGCUGUAUCGAUUGUUGAGAUCUGGCGACUUGUUUAAAUUUCAUCAGCCUCACUUCUAUGAACUCUCAGAGCUGAUUACCAACUCCUACCACUGUUAACCCUCAUCCAGGAACAAGCUUAUGUCUUUAACAUUCUGAGUGGGCUUCAGCAUCCUUGCAUAUGUUCAAUUCUUAAAAACCUGUUGAAAUAAAAGAUCAGGAGACAUAGGAAGGAUGCCAGAAGAGAGCGUGGCCUCACGUGUACCAGCUCUCUGCUCUCCUUUGCCUUGGGACGUUCCAUCCCUGGAAGUUUCCCUGCCCACAUCUUUGUAGAGAGUCCAUUCUCCAAGCUUCAGUGUGUCAUCUGUGAGGACCGUGACCCACCUGGUACAUCGCCUCAGGGCAUUCAUUUCAGGCUCCUUCUAAAUGGCCAAGGAUCUUGGAAGCAGAGGGAUCUGCAGAAGUGCUUGCAACACUUUCAGCCUUAACCAGCAUCAGAGACAAAAAUCCUUUCUGGAAUGAGGACCACUGAAGCACAACCACACUUUGGAGCCAGAAGAGGAGCUGAAAUGUCAAUUGGAGAGGACUUUCCUGCUCUAAAAGGUGAGGAAGACAGCACAAGUAACUUGCCAAAGAUAAGUGGCUAAUAAGUGGCAGAGCGAGGGUUUAAAGCAGGCAUGAAGGUGCUGCAGCCCAUGCACUUAGCCCCAACAUCAUGCUGCUCUCUGACUCACCAGCUAACCAAGUAAAUAAACGACAGUGAUGAGGUAAAUAAACAGGAUGAGGUAAAUAAAGAGGCUUACACAGUGCUCUAAAAGGAUGCUUUGAAGGAAGGGAAGAUCCCAACGAACCAGCCAUGAGAAGAACCCUUUACAGAGGGAAUAACAAGUGGCAAAGCUUCCCAAGUGAGGGUGGGGAAGAACCUGAUGGGUUUUGGAACUCAAAGUUUCUUCCUCUAACGUUCACCAAUUUAAUCUUUCCCUACAUAGAGUAAAUUGAGUUCCCCUGCUAUUAACAUUUGUUUUGUGGAUAAGUUAGUCUUUUUCUUUUUAAGAGUAUUAUUUAAACCAUUGAUCACUAAUUUCAUAAGCAAACCUUUGCCUUUUAAUAAAGCCUUUUGUAAAGAC